GAGGAGUUGCUCCAGGCUCGGGUGUGGGUGCAGCCUCUGGUCAGUGGCAAAGAAGGGGCCUUAUCGGAGCCCCAUCUUUAGGAAGGAUCAUUCUGCUCCAUGGAGGCCCUCGACAGCAGCCAGCACCAAGGGGACGUGUUACAACAUCGAAACUUUAUCACACUGAGAGACGGAGGAAGAGGCUCCUGGCAGGCAUCACUAAGCAGAGAAUCAACACUUUGCCUACAGCAGAGUUGUCCGGCCCCAGAGGCCACUGGUGCGGGAACGGAUGAGUGUCCACUGGGGUGCUUUCAGCUACUUCUGUCCCUGACAACAAACACAGCUUCCAUAACAGCAUCUCCUCUUCCUGCCAUCGCUUCAGGACUCCGGCUCACUCACCUCAUGGCCUCCUGUCUUUCAUUUGGGGAAAGGAAGUAAGCUGAAGCUCAGCAGUAGCUACCUAAUCCUGAUGACUGUGUGCCGGCAGAAGCCACCUUUAGAUAAGUCACUUUCCACUCAAAGGGGCCGUCAUCUGAGAAGAUUCAAUAAAAGGAGCUUUGGCGGUGCCCCCCCAAAAAACCACCAAAACAACAACAAAAAGUUUAUCACGAUAUUAAUCAGAAAGGGUUUUCUUGGCUUAGUUAAUGCGUCUCACUAAUCAAACACCAGAGGAAUGCGGUUGCUGCCUGUUGACCCUGGUAACUUGACACCACUAUGCUGUGUUAAAUUGAUAAAUCUGUCCAAAA